rnacentral:rRNA from 1 species
CUAAUGUCACGCAGCCGGUUAUUUUCUGCCACCGAAUACAUUAGCAUGGGAUAAUGGAAUAGGACCCUGUCCUCCUCUUUUCAGUUGGUUAAUUUAUGUGCGAGGAUCAGGGUAAUGAUUAAUAGGGAUAGUUGGGGGCAUUAAUAUUUAAUUGUCAGAGGUGAAAUUCUUGGAUUUAUGAAAGAUUAACUUCUGCGAAAGCAUCUGCCAGGGAUGUUUUCAUUAAUCAAGAACGAAAGUUAGGGGAUCGAAGACGAUCAGAUACCGUCGUAGUCUUAACCAUAAACGAUGCCGACCAGCGAUUAGGAGACGUUGAAUACAAAACACCGCUAAAGAUAAUUCAUUAUAUGGCUUCACGGCUGUAUAGUGUUGGUCUCUGGUUAUGGGGAAUGACUCCC